AUCUGAACCUUCGGGGGACGAUAACGGCGUCGAGCGGCGGACGGGUGAGUAAUGCCUAGGAAAUUGCCCUGAUGUGGGGGAUAACCAUUGGAAACGAUGGCUAAUACCGCAUGAUGCCUACGGGCCAAAGAGGGGGACCUUCGGGCCUCUCGCGUCAGGAUAUGCCUAGGUGGGAUUAGCUAGUUGGUGAGGUAAGGGCUCACCAAGGCGACGAUCCCUAGCUGGUCUGAGAGGAUGAUCAGCCACACUGGAACUGAGACACGGUCCAGACUCCUACGGGAGGCAGCAGUGGGGAAUAUUGCACAAUGGGCGCAAGCCUGAUGCAGCCAUGCCGCGUGUAUGAAGAAGGCCUUCGGGUUGUAAAGUACUUUCAGUCGUGAGGAAGGUGGUAGUGUUAAUAGCGCUAUCAUUUGACGUUAGCGACAGAAGAAGCACCGGCUAACUCCGUGCCAGCAGCCGCGGUAAUACGGAGGGUGCGAGCGUUAAUCGGAAUUACUGGGCGUAAAGCGCAUGCAGGUGGUUUGUUAAGUCAGAUGUGAAAGCCCGGGGCUCAACCUCGGAAUAGCAUUUGAAACUGGCAGACUAGAGUACUGUAGAGGGGGGUAGAAUUUCAGGUGUAGCGGUGAAAUGCGUAGAGAU
rnacentral:rRNA from 1 species